GAUGAAGAACGUAGCGAAAUGCGAUAAGUAAUGUGGAUUGCAGAAUUCAGUGAAUCAUCGAAUCUUUGAACGCACCUUGCACCCUUUGGCAUUCCGAAGGGUAUGCUCGUUUGAGUGUCAUUGUACUCUCACUCUCCCGAUACUUUUGGAUCGGGAGUGGUGGACUUGGGUGCUGCUGCUUAACUGUGGCUCGCCUUAAAUGAAGUAGUGCAACUCUCGGUUGGACAUAGUACGGCGUGAUAAGUGUCUUCGCCGGCGCCUCAUUCGAGGGUGGCCGAUCGGGAGCUCUGUGCUUCAAACUGUCUUCGGACAACAUCUGACAACUUGACCUCAAAUCGAGUAGGACUACCCGCUGAACUUAAGCAUAUCAAUAAGCGGAGGA
rnacentral:misc_RNA from 1 species